CUUAAAAAGUCUUGAAUGAAAUUUGGGCACAAGUACGAGAAAUGUUUAUUAGCAUCUGAAGUUCUGAACAUAAAACAAGUGGUAGUGGUCUGUGGGUCCGCCACUGUCCCUACUUCUACAGCAGAAUUCACAGCCAACGCCUCCACAAACUUCUCAUUCUCGACGUACAGUAUCCGGCAAAACCCCACCGCCCUCAUCUCCCUCAGCAAAACCCUUCCCCGUAACCCAUUUGUUCAAAAGUCCCCUCUACUCGUUUCUCUCUGAAAAAGGAGGAAGCUGUGCCGAAAUGACGCCGUAUAGAGCCAAUCUAGAUCUGGAUCUCGCUCUCGUCGCUGUCUCUCUUCAUGGGCUUCCAGUAGACUCCGACCAGUGGCAUUGAAAAGGAUACAAGCUUUUCAAUAGCCUAAAGAGAUCAAUAUCUGAUCCAUGAAGACACUAUUUUUGAAAAUAUCAAGACCAAAUAUGAGCAUACUCUCAACAAGAAAGAGGUAAUAACCUUAACCACCACAAGGUACGAGUUGCACAACUACAAGGCUUCAAAAUCAUACUUUACUGGGAAGAUAUUCAGUGCAGCUUCUAAGUUGAAUGAUGAUGGAAUUUUAGCGCCUCGAUUCCUGAAGUAUAAUGAGCAGAAGAAAAGUUGGAUUAUGUGCUAUGACAGAUUUGAUCAUUUUCUGACUGCUGAUGAUGCAACAAACAUAUACACAGAAUCAUUUCAAAGAUAAGGAAAAGACGCCGAAUCACCGAUUAGGUAUGUGCAACAGUCUUUUGAUCCCUUUUGAUCUCUCUUGGAUGCUUUUUAUACUAAUGAUUGUGUAUGCAGCAAGCUCAUGAUGUCUAUGAAGUACAUACAUGGACGUCGACUUUUUCAUGGGCAUCUAAAGGAAAGAUGCAAUUACGUUCUGAUAUCUGGUGAAAUCAAGAUUGUUUUAGCUGGCAGCUUGCUUACUUGGGAGGACUUGAAAAUUCCUAAAAAUUCAUCUGAGAGAAACGAGUAGAAAGUCAGAGUCUCCAAGACUUGACAGAUUUUAGGGUCAUGCUAAAAGAUCUGAUGUCGGAUGCCAACAUUGAUUGGAAGAGUCAAGAAACAUUCUUUCAAUUUUUUGAUAAGAAUCCAGACUUUUGUUAAGAGACACACACGCAUAUGCUCAGUUAGUUUCUUUUAUCAUCUCUUAUACGUAAAGCAUACAUACGUAUUAUUAACUUUACAAUUUUCUUGUUUUAGGUACGGGUACGACCACUUUGUUGAUAAACUGAUCGAGCAUCCAUCUAUGAAGAAUUCCUUUGACAAGACAAAGUAUUUUGAAAAAAUAGAGUAUGACAUAGUAACAAAUCAGCUUCGCAAACCUAAUGUACAUAAAUCUUCCUAGCCUUAUUCCCAUCAGUACAUUAGGUUUGCGAAGCUGAUUUGUGACUAUGUCAUACUCUAUUUUUUCAAAAUACUUUGUGCUGUCAAAAGAAUUCUUCAUAGAUGGAUGCUCGAUCAGUUUAUCAACAAAGUGGUCGUACUCGUACCUAAAACAAGAAAAUUGUAAAGUUAAUAAUACGUAUAUAUGCUUUACGUAUAAGAGAUGAUAAAGGAAACUAACUGAGCAUAUGCGCGUGUGUGUAUCUUACCAAAAGUCUGGAUUCUUAUCAAAAAAUUAAAAGAAUGUUUCUCGACUCUUCCAAUCAAUGUUGGCAUCCGACAUCAGAUCUUUUAGCAUGUCCCUAAAAUCUGUCAAGUCUUGGAGGCCUCUGACUUUCUACUCGUUUCUCCCAGAUGAAUUUUUAGGAAUUUUCAAGUCCUCCCAAGUAAGCAAGCUGCCAGCUAAAACAAUCUUGAUUUCACCAGAUACCACAACGUAAUUGCAUCUUUCCUUUAGACCCCUAUGAAAAAGUCGACGUCCAUGUAUGUACUUCAUAGAUAUCAUGAGCUUGCUGCAUACACAAUAAUUAGUAUAAAAAGCAUCCAAGAGAGAUCAAAAGGCUGCUGCACGUACCUAAUCGGUGAUUCGGCAUCUUUUCAUUUUCUUUGAAAUGAUUCUGUGUAUAUGUUGGUUGCAUCAUCAGCAGUCAGAAAAUGAUCAAAUCUGUCAUAGCACAUAAUCCAACUUUUCUUCUGCUCAUUAUACUUCAGGAAUCGAGGCGCUAAAAUUUCAUCAUCAUUCAACUUAGAAGCUGCACUGAAUAUCUUCUUAGCCCUAUUCUCUGACAUAUUGGGUUACUUCUAUGACCAUGAAGAUGUCGAGUACGACGGCGAAAGAGUGAGGGAUCUUAUCCAAUUUCUGGCAAAUGCAUUCACGCAUUUUGAGUCAGAAGACUUUAUUUCACUUGACUGUGAGAUCACGAGCUUAUAUCCCGACUUCUUGAAUCGCUUGCACAAGUACUUAUAAAGGUGAGAAAGGUGGAUAUGCUUGAUGGUGUUUCUAUCCUCCGAUCUGAGAAGGUGAAGGAUGAGCUGAUAUUGGAUGGCAAUGAUAUUGAACUAGUUUCUCUGUCUUGUGCUCAGUCAUGUGUUCUCAUGUUUGUUUUGACAGAAAUGCCAUGUCAAGAACAAGGAUAUCAGGAAGUUUCUUGAUGGUAUCUAUGUUAGCGAGAGGGCAACCAUCAAUACCGAGGAAUGAAGGCUGUAUUUUUCUUAUGUGGUUUUGUUGAAGUAGCCUUUACUUUACUCUUAUGGAUUUCGGUAGUUUUCCUAAUGUUGCAAAUUUCGUGGACAACCUCAAAAUCUUGUUUCACAUUGGAUCUAUAAUGUUGUGUUUUGCAAAUUAUAUUUCGUUAGAUUUUUGGUGAUUUUUA